UGUGUGACUGCGUACCUUUUGUAUAAUGGGUCAGCGACUUAUAUUCUGUAGCAAGGUUAACCGAAUAGGGGAGCCGGAGGGAAACCGAGUCUUAAUUGGGCGUUAAGUUGCAGGGUAUAGACCCGAAACCCGGUGAUCUAGCCAUGGGCAGGUUGAAGGUUGGGUAACACUAACUGGAGGACCGAACCGACUAAUGUUGAAAAAUUAGCGGAUGACCUGUGGCUGGGGGUGAAAGGCCAAUCAAACCGGGAGAUAGCUGGUUCUCCCCGAAAGCUAUUUAGGUAGCGCCUCGUGAAUUCAUCUCCGGGGGUAGAGCACUGUUUCGGCUAGGGGGCCAUCCCGGCUUACCAACCCGAUGCAAACUGCGAAUACCGGAGAAUGUUAUCACGGGAGACACACGGCGGGUGCUAACGUCCGUCGUGAAGAGGGAAACAACCCAGACCGCCAGCUAAGGUCCCAAAGUCAUGGUUAAGUGGGAAACGAUGUGGGAAGGCCCAGACAGCCAGGAUGUUGGCUUAGAAGCAGCCAUCAUUUAAAGAAAGCGUAAUAGCUCACUGGUCGAGUCGGCCUGCGCGGAAGAUGUAACGGGGCUAAACCAUGCACCGAAGCUGCGGCAGCGAACGUAUCACCCAAGACAACUUUACGGAGUUGACGAUUGACGGAGCGAAGCGACGUCAAAGCGUUCAUUAAAGUCGAGUUGGCUUAGGGAUACGUUCGUUGGGUAGGGGAGCGUUCUGUAAGCCUGUGAAGGUGUGUCGUGAGGCAUGCUGGAGGUAUCAGAAGUGCGAAUGCUGACAUAAGUAACGAUAAAGCGGGUGAAAAGCCCGCUCGCCGGAAGACCAAGGGUUCCUGUCCAACGUUAAUCGGGGCAGGGUGAGUCGACCCCUAAGGCGAGGCCGAAAGGCGUAGUCGAUGGGAAACGGGUUAAUAUUCCCGUACUUGGUGUUACUGCGAAGGGGGGACGGAGAAGGCUAUGUUGGCCGGGCGACGGUUGUCCCGGUUUAAGCGUGUAGGUGUGUGUUCCAGGUAAAUCCGGUUCACUUUAACACUGAGGCGUGACGACGAGGCACUACGGUGCUGAAGCAACAAAUGCCCUGCUUCCAGGAAAAGCCUCUAAGCAUCAGGUAACACGAAAUCGUACCCCAAACCGACACAGGUGGUCAGGUAGAGAAUACCAAGGCGCUUGAGAGAACUCGGGUGAAGGAACUAGGCAAAAUGGUGCCGUAACUUCGGGAGAAGGCACGCUGACAC
rnacentral:rRNA from 1 species